UCGAGAAUUUUUCUCAAUGGGGGAAACCCUGAAGGAGCGACGCCGCGUGGAGGAUGAAGGUCUUCGGAUUGUAAACUCCUGUCAUCAGAGAACAAGGGCGCGGGUAACCGCGCUUUGAUAGUAUUUGAAGAGGAAGAGACGGCUAACUCUGUGCCAGCAGCCGCGGUAAUACAGAGGUCUCAAGCGUUGUUCGGAUUUAUUGGGCGUAAAGGGUGCGUAGGCGGCGGGGUAAGUGAGGUGUGAAAUCCCAGAGCUCAACUCUGGAACUGCACUUUAUACUGCUCUGCUUGAGUCUUGGAGAGGAGACUGGAAUUUACGGUGUAGCAGUGAAAUGCGUAGAUAUCGUAAGGAAGACCAGUGGCGAAGGCGAGUCUCUGGACAAAGACUGACGCUGAGGCACGAAGGCCAGGGGAGCAAACGG
rnacentral:rRNA from 1 species